AUGUUCUGUUAUUGCUCUUAGCGGAUCUGAUGUAUCUAAUGGCAUAAUAUAUAAUUACGUGUUUUUGGAUAGUAAUCAUUAAACAGUCUAGCUUAUUUGGUAUUGACAAGUACAGGGAGCAAUUGAAGGUGAACAGUUCGAAUCCUAUAAUCGUCAUUUCUUUUUAAAAGAUAAAAACGACGGCGUUUAAAGGUGGCUAACGGAGAUGUUAACAGACGUUAGAUAAUCAGUUAACGACUGUUAACGGUUAGUUUUUUUGUCUGAUCAACGAAUGUUUAUAGUUUAAACGGUUGGUCAACGAUAUCUUCAUGUUUAAAAUGGCCGCAUGUAAAGUUGGGGUAUAAAAUAGCCACAAUUUAAAAGUUGGGCUAUUAAACGACAUUUUUCCCGAAAGAUUAUAUUAUCAGUUUCUCUUUUUUUUUUGUUAAAAAUAUUCUCAGUUUCUCACUAAGUGUUUAAAUAAGUUUUGAAAUAUUGGUAGAUAAUUUAUGAAAAUUUGAAAAUAUUAAUUAUCCAAACGAGUAAUUUGUGUACU
rnacentral:sRNA from 1 species